rnacentral:lncRNA from 1 species
CAGGAAUAGAAAAUUAAUGUAAAUUGGUAUGAUUUUAUUUAAUCAAAAUUAUUGCUAUGAGCUAUGGAAAACAGCUUUUAUAAAGCAGUUGGAACUUUUUUUCACUUGAUUUGGAUUCAGAUUGCUUCGGUGUUCUAAAAUGCUUUGAUUUUCAGUUCUUGGUCUUGGAAAUAAAUUUCAAGGUGUAGUUUAUAUCAGCUGCUUUUUUUCCCCUCUAAACUAUGUGAGCAAGUUCUAGGGGAGGAUGUUUCUAUUCCUCCCCUUCCCCUCCAGAAAAAGGGAGAAGAGUAUACAUUUUUUUUUUUAACAAGUUACAUGGGUUUUGUCAAAAAAAAAAAAACAAAAAAACAUCAAUCAUGGUGAUUGAUCACCAUGUGAUCCACCAAUCAUCAUUGGUUACAUUGUAUUUCGCUAACUUGUCAAUUGGCAUGAUAUAACAGCUUGUUAAAAUAAAUUUGUUUUUCAAUUUUAGGAAUAAACUAAUGUGGGUUUAUUCCUAUAACUGGAAAACCCAAGUAUCCUUGGAAAGGGAUGCACUCAUUGAAGAAUGUUCUAUAGAAAACAUACUUUUUUCAAAAUUCAGAUUUGCCUUACUAUAUUUGUACUGUUAGGAUUUGGUUUUAAUUUAAUUUUUUUCUUAUCACUAUAAUUACUGUACAUUUAAAAAAAACCCUACCUCCAUUAAUAUUUGAAAAAGUUCCACUUUCAGGAAAAAAACUAAUUUUUUUUUUUUUUUUUUUUUUAAAGGAAAGCUACUCUUUGCUCAGUAGAGUGUGUUUGAAGGGAACAAGCACUUUCAAAUGAAAAUUUCAGUUUAUAUAAAUAUAUAUGGUGAAAAAAAAUUCUGGUGGGAUCAUUUGUCUUGGUUUUAAAGAGAUUUUAUUAAAAGUGCUCAAUCCUAUUAGGCUUUAUACACAGAACAAUAAGUACAUUAAAAAAAAUAGGAUUGGUGUUGGUGAAUCCAUAUAACACUGAGGGUGACAGCCUUUGGAACAGACGGUUUUUUUAAACUUAGUUUUCUUUUAAAUUCUGACUUUUGAUGAUAAGAGUACCAAUCAUAGUGGUACUUUGUAUGCUUUAAAGAAAGUUGAACUGAAACAAUAGAUUGAUUGCACAAAAGUCCUUAAAUAUAAUUUAGUUGAUGGUUCAGAGGUGAAUGCUGUAAUAAGCUAACGAAUACUCAGUGUGAUUAGACCAGUCACACACAGUUGUAAAGAAGGCAAGAUGUUAUACACAAAUCAGACUAUCAUCGCCUUGUCAGACCAGUAAAAUAACGAAUAUAAAUAUUUUUUUCCUUUCAGAUUGACCAGUUUCACUGAAUCGACUGAAUUGGUUGUUGGCAUUUUGUAGACAAGGCCUUAAUUAAAUGACUGAGUUAGAAAGCCACAUGAUUAUACAAUUAUUUAACAUAUUCCAUACAUGUUACACUUUUUUUACUGGACGGAAAAAUUAUUUUUCCCAAUUGAAACUAUUGAACCAUAACAACCCACUAUCAAAAUUGAUUAGCAUUUAAAAUGAAAUUUUUAAAAAUAAAUUAAUUUCCCCCAUGAUUUUUUUAAUAUUAGAUAUCCAUCAUUUUAAGGCACGACUUAAAUUUGAAUAUAAUUAUAGUAUCAUUAAGUUUGUAAAUGACAUUGAAAACCACAGCUAAAACUGAGCAAAAUGGGUACAACUUUCUUUUAAAAGAGUGUUGCCUAUUAAAGAUUGAUAGUUUGACAGUCUCUACACCUAAUGUAGUUUCAUCACGGACUAUAAAGAAGCUGUACAUAUUAGUAUUAAAGAAGCUAGUGGGUAUGUACUUAAUGUGAGAUCUAAUAAUCUUGCAUUGAGAUCCACAUACUCAUAAGGUCCCAAUUCAGAAAACAUAUUAGUAUUUCAGGUUAAAACUAGCAACAACAAAUUGUUAAUUUUCUUUUUUAAAUUUUGUUUAAGGAUUUCCCUCUUUUUUUUUCUCCCCAUUUGCUUGACAGAUCUACACAAAGGAGUUUGUCUUUGUCACUUAGGUUUUAACUUAGCACUGUAUGCUGGCAUUGGCUUGAUGUGUAAGUCUGGAUAUGUGUAUCACAGUGCUCCCAAAUCAUGAAAUUCCUCAUUUUCCUGUAGUGGAGACAUAAUCUAAUUGGCAUAGUGCAUCAAAAUUAUUUUUCAUUGCACCAUGACAUCAGUACAAUUGAGUGCUAUAAUGUUACAGGGCUGUCAGGUUUGUAAUAACAUAACCAUAAAUUACAUUGGAGUUGGAUAUGAGUGGGGUAUCUAUAAAAUAUCACGUGUAUUUCAAAAAUAUUGAACUGCUGUUUGAUUAUAAUGCUGCAUUAUUUUCUUCUGUUCCUUAUCCUUUGGAGAAAGGGAUUAUAAUGAAGUUUGAAAUGUGCAAGCUGUCUAAACAAGAUGCAGUCAAAUAAAACAUGGUUAAGUUGUGUUUGCAUUUUUCUUUUAAAUGCAGAUGUGUUUUUUUGUGAUCUGGAAGCUUGGUUUUUGCCAGGUAGGAAAAUGCCCUGAUCCCUCCCCAUUAACUAUUUCUUAAAUGAAUCAGAGACUUGCUUAGAGGAAAAAAAAAAAUAGGAAUCAUUCACUUUCUACUUAGAAUAGUUUUACUUAAGUAAUCAUUUUGAAUAUUAAUUAUAUGAGCUUUAUUUUCCAAAAGGAGUACAUGAAAAAUGAGCCAUCUACAUUUGAGUAUUAUAAGUUAUGCUAGGUGCUUUUGCUCUGCAUUUAACACUCAAUUGUUUCUAUUAUAAAGAUUUUUUAUUUUUUUGUUGAGUUUGUUGCUAAGGUACUUUUCUUAUAUUUUUGUUUACACAGAAAUCACUAGACUUAAGUGACUUGUCAACUGAGACUUCAAGAUAGAAAAAAAGGCAGACACUGCCUCAGCAAACACAUUGUAAUUUUUAAUGAUUUUAAUAUAUUAGUGUUAAAGUGAGAAUUGUCAGUAUCAAUCAUCAAUGGGAGUAUUGGGUGAGUCUUGUUGGCCUUUAUGUAUGAAAAAUCCUCUUGUGAUACUGUUCAAUAAUCGAAGAAAAGGAUUUGAAUAUGUAAAUUUUAUUUGCUGAGAUUUCAGUGAUACUAGAUUUUUCAUACAUCCAGUUAAUGUUCUUAGUGUCAAAAUAAUUAGAAAAUGGAAUGUAAUCUUUUGCAAUUACAGGUAAAAACCAAUGUAAAAUGGUUAACCCAAAGAUGUAGUAAUCUUUCAGAAAUCUUUAUUUUAAAAAAAUCCUUAAAAUGUCUUAAUGAAAUCUGUUAUCUUAAUAGAACUUAGUGGUACUUUAGUUGCUGUAAAUCCUCAUUCUGAACAUUGACUUUUGAGAAAAGUAUUUGAGAAUAGGCUAUUAAGAGCCCAAACCUUUCAGCAUUCAUUACUUGUAUAUUAAAAAUAUUAAGUUGAAAAAAAAACUGCCUUUGUUGGGAGGAAAAAUGUGUAGUUAAUUCUCAUUUACCUUGAUAAUAUGUUUGACAUAGAACUUUUCUGUCUCUGAUAUUGAAGGUUUUGUGACUUAACUACCCAGAGGCAGGGCCUUAUUUUUGGUUAUGUUGAAGUUAUCUGUGCUUUUCAGAAAAGAAAAAAACAAAAAACAGCCUUAAGUGCCUACAUUUUACUUCCUCUAUAAUAUUUUUUAUGAAAUAUUUUCCUUUUAAAUCUCUACCCACAAUAUUUAAUCUUAGAAAUUUUACAUUUUAGAUAAAUUUUUAGAUACUUUAAACUCUGUCAUUUUUGUAGAGGUGGUCAAUUCAUAGUAUAAAGCAUAAAGUGUGUAGUAUGUGACUAAUGAAUUGUAACCCCUGCUCACAUUGUUGGAAAUUAGAGUUUUCGAAUUACAAGUCUAUGGCUGAUUGAAAUUCAUUUGGUUCAGCUCAAGUAGUUCUUGGGGUCAGUGUUGUCCUGACAUGGUAUUAAAAAAAAACAUAACACCAGACUCCAGUUGGUCACCUUAAGUAAUACCUGUGCAUUAAAUCACAAGGGCACAAAGUCAAAUAGCGGGUGAUAGCUUAGAGUCACUAACAGCUGGUCCUGGGGAAAAAAAAAAUUUAAAGCACAAAUUCUUUUGAUUUUGAAUCAGUUUAAUUUUUGUUUAUAAGACAGUACAUAUUUUACAUUUUUGAAAAGCCUAAACUAGAAAUAUAAGGCACUGAAAUGUGUUAACUGUUCUUUUAAAAAGUUUUUUUGAUGCCUUUUCUUUGUAUUUGUCAUUUUUGGAAAUUUCUUUCCCCCUGUUUCUAACCCUUCAGAUUUGAGCCCACCCUUACUUAAAAAAAAAAAAAAAAAAAAAAACACUCAAAAACUACCAGUUCAGUGCACUGGUAAAUACAAGAUUCUUUCCUGGGAAUUAUUCUAUCUUGUUGAGGGGAUGGAGGAAUAUUUUGUCUGCUUUCUAGCACUCUUAUUCGUGUUUCAACUGCUCAAAGUUCAACUCCUUUUUAGUGACCUUUUCAUUUACAUUAUAUAUUUGUCAUUUAUAUAAUUUUUGGUCUGCUUAUUUCCUACUACAUCAGUUCAUAUGAUCUUCUAGUGUUUCUCUGAAUUCACUUUUGUAAUUCCUUACUGGAUAAUAUUCCAUUACAUUCAUAUGCCACCUUUGUUUAGUCAUUUGCAAGUUGAUGAGUAUGUACUUUGUUUCCAGUUACCUGCUACCUUAAAAACUACUGCUGUGAAUAUAUUUGGUACACAGUGGGCCAUUGUUUUUCUUUGACCUCCAUGGGGGAAGUGUUCUAGCUUUUAAUCAAAUUUUAAAUAAUAUUUCAAUAGGGUACAGUCAUUUAAUAGUUCUCUCCAACUAAUAAAAGCGCACCUAUUGCGAUUGUGGAAAAAAGUGAGAUGUUAAUAUUAAAAGUUGGAGAAAUUAAUCCUAUGAUAUUUUCUAUUUGAGGAGUGUUAUAUUAUGCCAAAUAAUAAUAAUAAUAAUAUACAAUGUACUAGAUAAUGGAUUUUCUGUUAUAAGAUAGCUG